UCAAUAUUGUCUGUCGGGAAUAUAUGUGCUGUGCUCACACACACGCACAAUGUCUAUAUAAAUUACACUGAGAAGUCUCUUUGGUCCAAGUUCUUAUUGGUUCAAGUGGGGAAACAAUUGAAGGUUCAGUACUGUUUGGAUUUUUGGCUGUUGUUUUUUAGUAUCAAUUAGAUGCAUUAAGCACUGGAUUACAGCAUUUCCGUAAAGCAAUCAGAAAUGUAAUUAGUCAACUAUAGUGUUGGCCGGCUGGUACUGCUGGUCUCGAUAGAUGUUUUGUGAUUUUAUUAUCCAAAAUCUCAGUAGCUGUUAUUACUUGUUGCUAAUUUAUUUGUGAUGGAUAGGUAUUACCUCUAGUUAAUUUGUCCAAUUUUUUGGACAUCCAGAUCCAGCCCUCCGGUUGCAGCUCCCCUGAUGGUGAAGACAUCCUUUGUCCAUUGUGCACCAUCAAGUUCAUAGUGUAAGUAUGCAUGUUUGAAAUAGCUUAGUAAGUAUGCUCAUAUCAUGCUCAAUUUUGUGAUAGGUGCAUGUGUACAGUUAGCUUUCCUUUUAUUUCUGUUAAUGAAAAAAAUAUGAAUCUUUAAACAAUCUGUAAUUGUAAAAGCUAACCAAGGAAAAUGUUGUCUGCACGUUUUUAACAAAAUGGCCACGGUAUUGCUGAGUCGCUAAUGAAGGAAGUCAGGGAUGUGAGACAAAUUCUUUCACCUUCCUUAUGAGGAGAAAUUAAAGAUUAAGAUGACACUUGAGAGUGGAUAUAGGUUUGGUUACUUAGAAAUGUCCAACUUUUCCUUGUUCUGUUUGGUCCGCUGGGAAACUUCUGACUAUUUGUUUUCAGAGGGUAUCAAAGGAUAGGGUUUUUUUUUUGAAAGAAACUGUGGGGGAGAUCCCCACAAUGUGUAAAAGAUUUUAUAAAUAAGGGGGGCGUAGCCAAAGUUCAGAGAGUCUUACACUGAAAGCAUCUAACCAAAAGCAGAAGGCUGAUCUAAGAUCUGCCUUGAAUUUAAUCAACUGGAGAUGACACUGACUUUUAAAAUUAGUAACCCAUCUAUUUAUACAUACAUCAUGUCUUCCGAAAAUUUUAUCAUCUCUUAUCUUCCAGAGCUCCCAUGCCGCUAUCAAAGCUGUCCAUGUGAAGAAGUGUUGGCUAUUUCUGUGUUUUGCAUCCUUGAUUCUGUCCUCCAUAUUUAGAGACAGAUUCCAGUUGAAGUUAAUCAACGUCCAGCAUUGCCUUGCAAAUGGGCAGAUGAAAAACAGAUGCUCAAUUGUUUCAUCUGCUCCUGUGUUGCACAUUACACAUGAGUUAUCCUCAUGGAUGCCUUCUAGUCAGCAUGGUCUUUGUGUUGAGUCUGUCAACCAACAAAAGCCAUGCAAAAAAUUUCACUCAUUUCGACUUCCAGAGUGAUCUGAAUAUUGGAUGAGCUUCUAUGGUAUUGAAUACAUGCUCAUAGAAUUUUUUUGAAGUAAAUUCAGUUCCCCAAACUGGCUGCCACUAUCCUCUGCACCUUCAUCAUAGGUAAAAUUUUGAAUGUUCAUUUGCAGCUGUUACCAAGGGUAAACCUGAUAUGCAUGAAGCAAUUGAUGUAAUUUCACAUUUUUCUCUUUAUUUUCUUCUCAUGUUUUGACAUGUUCAGAGCUAAACCUGAAAACAAGAAUGGCAGUGCUACACUCCUAUUAGACCAGGCAAAUAUGGAGAUCUUGCUAAACCAAUGGAGGGAUCUAAUUUAUGAACUUCUGACGCUGGUUAACCUGGAUGAUGACAUAUGUGCCCUUGAGGAGGUUAAGAAGGCAAGGAUAUUGACUAGCUGCUGAAAUUCAAGUUAGAAAUUUCCUUAAGAUGUGAAUUAUAGGAGGAGAGGUGCUAGGUAGAAGUAAGCUAAUCAAAGUGCUGAUCUGAUAUUUAGAUAGUGUUAUUAAACAGUCUUGAAGUUAAAUCUAUUUAGAAUGUUGAAUCUAAAUUGUAUUUAUUUGAUGUUCUUAAGUCAAAUUCAAUAAAGAGGCUGAAACCAUUCCACAUGCGAACUGUGGCGAUGUGUUUGUGC